GUCAGGAUAGCCGAGUGGUCUAAGGUGCGGCGUUCAGGUCGCAGUAUCCCCUGGAGGUGUGGGUUCGAAUCCCACUCCUGACA
rfam:Loxodonta africana unplaced genomic scaffold scaffold_28, whole genome shotgun sequence.